GGAGCCAAACGACAACAAGAUUCUCAGAGGGCGGAGCCAGAGAGCAGUGAUUGGACAGACCAUAGUUUAUAUAGCAGACAGCGCGCUAGCGUAUCUAGUCUAUGUAUAUAUAUGGUUGGCACGUCUGGUAGCAUCUCUGGCUGCUGUUGAUCUUGUUUUUGGAGUAAAACACGGUGGAAGCUGAAUUAGUGAGGAUGACUCCUGCUCCUGUCAUCUCUAAGCUCCUCACACAUCUUUACCUGCACAUGAGGAAAAUCACUCCUGUAGAAUGCAGAUGUUCAGAGGGAGAUGAUGCCACAUCUGGUCCAGCUGAUGGAAGGUCUUGAAGUUCUCUGACUGGCCUCGACUGAAGAUGGUCGUCUCACUGGAUUUAAGGUUCAGAUGCUCAGUAACAAACUCCACCAAUGUGCCAACAGGGAAGCUUUAGGUUUAUUAAAUGUUGCUAUGAAGGUAUCGCUGUUUUUCUUUGUGAAUGCAAUGUGCUCCAACUGAAAGUUGAAUUAGAACUUAGAAGUAAAUCCUUCCAUCUGAAAGGAUUUAAUUGCAUUAAUAACCUCAUAACAUUCUAAUUUUUAUUCCAGUCUUGGCUGGAAAUAGAAUCUCUGUAUUGAUUCAGUUAAAAACUGAACUUCACAGCAUGUUGAAGCAAAACAACCAGAUGAAAACUGUGAUGGUGUUGGAUUGUCAGACCGUAAUGUUGCAGCUCAAAGCAGCUUUUCUAUCUCAGUUCAUUCUGACAUUCAGCUAUGAAUCAACACAGCAGAUGGUGAUCCAUGCUGUGGAAGUCUCACAUCUCCUGAUUUAAUGGAGCUGCUUUGCACUUUUUACACUGUUUAUUCACCAACACUUUAUUUAAUAAAAGUCCCAUCUAGUUUUUAUGAGGAAUGUGAUGUUUUAAUUUCUCUGUGAAUAACUGCAGUCUAAUGUAACAGCUGGAGUUGUAACAUCUGUCCUGAUAUUGAUCAUGAAGUAUUGAUCAGAAUACUGAUGGUCAGCAGUCAUCCCUGAAGUUUUACAUUAAAAUCUUUACUUGUGUUGUGAACUUUGGUAAGAAGCAGAAACUUUUGCGUUGCCAUGGAUACAUGAGUGUUAAGUUCUGUCCAUGUUUCCAUUUUGGGAAAUGCAGUCCAGUUCCAGAAUGUGGAGGAAUUUAGUCUCACAAUCACAGACAAUAAAUAUUAUCUGAAAGUCGGGUUAUUGUUGUUUAUCAGCACAAUACAAAAAGAUUAAUGUUAGAAAUAUUCCAGUUAAGACUCUAGAAUAUCAUGAUUUAUGUAAAUUUACCUCAAUAAUAUGAAUCUUCAGGUUAAGAUUGUACAGUGAUAUUUAUUAUGUAAGUUUAGCUGAUUAAAGUUUAUGACUCUGCACUAAAAUAUUAUUUAAAUUGUCAUUAUUAUAAUAUUUAGGGUCAGACCCUACAGUAUUGAGAUUAAGAAAUCAAAUAUUCUAUAAAAUGUAAAUACACUGAACUCAUUUGGAUCUAUUUAAGUGAGACUCUACAGUAUUAUUUGACACAAAUCUAUCUAAAUCAAAAUUUUAAUCAUUUUCAUGCCAAACAUUUACUGGACUGAUUUAAAUAUUAAAAUCACUCCUUUCUAAUCCUCUGCUGUACGUUCAAACCUGAGGCCUUAAAUAGAAACACACAAGUAUCUGAUUGAAGGAACUUCUGCAGAGUCCUGGUUCCAGAACAUGAUGAUAGAAUUAUAGACAAACUUUAACAAAAGCUGCCUCAGAGUUUACAGAUUUUUAUGUUGGAUUUCUUCAGUAAUUUAAUGAGCGUUAUCAGCAAUAAUCAAGUGUUCAUUUGAUGAACUUCAUUUCCUAAAACAUCCAGAAUUGGAGCUCAUAUCUUUGGCAGCUGUAAAGUUUCUGCUCCUUCAAAGUUCACAACACAAUGAAUGAAUUCCUAAAACACUCAAUGCUGGAGAGCGUUUGUGAUGCUGAAGCAGUGAUCAGUUUUUCUGUUUCUUCUCUGGAGAAGCACAAUGAGGGACGUCUGCAGAGACUGAGAAAGAGUCUCGCCACAUCCUUACAUGAGGAAAAAGACUUUACUGAAGACUACAAUGAGGAAAACUAUCAGACAGCAGACAGCUGCAUUCAAGUCUGUAGCUGCUGAAUUCAUGGAUGAAUCAUCUGGCACUAGAGAAGAAAACCAUCAAGCAUCCAUGUCAGCUGAUGGAGGUCCAAGAGUCUCACCAAACAAACAACCUACAGAGUGAAGACCUCAAAUUUGAUUGGAUGGCCUCCUAUUCAGCCACAUGUGUGAACAAAUGCCUCUAAGCUGAUUUGUUUUCUGAAAUAAAUCUAGUUUGAGUCCUAGUCUAUGCCUGUGUGUUUGCUUCUUUACAUCGCUGUUAACAGUUUAGGCUGUUAGAUUGUUCCAGAUAAGACAAAUACAAGAUUCUUCAGAGCCGUUCUACCACGAGCCUGACAGGAAGAACUGCAACAGCUACUGAAUGUUCCUGUGGUCCCCUCAAGGCUACAGGAGGAGUCCUACGAGGACGAGCCGGUCCACCUGAUGGCGGCCAGUCGCUGCGGUUCAAAGCCAACACCGACUACGUGGACUUCUACUGGACCACACGGAGGUCUUCAAACCGGACCAACAAGUUCAGCGACUCCCCGACUCGUGGGUCUGAGGACGCCGCCGAGCCUCAGCCCAGCCGGCCUCCUGUCUGUGGGUGUUUGAGUGCUGAGAGGUUUGUGGAUGCAUGUGAACAUGUCUGUGUUGAAACAGCAGCUUUUGACUCAGUAACGCUGGGAAAAACCAAGAGCUCCUUUAUUUGUGACUUCCACUAAAAAAAACUGAUGAAAAUAAGUUUGCCAGGGUUCUGACUGAUAACAGGUUAUUAAAUAAUGAAAAUAAUCGUUUAAAUAUUACUUUAAACAAUCCUUUUAAGUCUACAUUUCCUUUACACUGACUUCUUGGUGUAUGUACAAGUAUUUUGGGUGGAAUAUACCAUUAAGCCCGAUGUUCAAGGGUUCUUCUGGGAAUAUACCAUUAAACCAACCUUUUAGGUAAAUGUUCCAGGAUGUUGAGUAGAAUAUACCAUCAGAUCAACCUUUUAGGUCUACAUUUGAAGAUUUUAGAGUAGAAUUUUACUCCAAACCAUCCUUUAGGUCUACAUUUAAGGUGGAAUACUCCUUUACACCAAGAUUUUUUUUGGUCUACAUUGAAAGAUUUUAGGUGAAAUAUUCCUUUGAAUGAACUUUUUAAGUUUAUGUUCAAGGAUGUUGGGUGGAAUAUACCAUCAGACCAACCUCCAAGGUCUACAGUAGUGAAUUUUAGGUGGAAUAUACCAUUAAACUCACCUUUUAGGUCUACAUUGGAGGAUUUUAGGUGGAAUUUUCUUCCAAACCGUCUUUUAGUCUACAUUUUAGGAUGUUUAGGAUGGUAUAUUCUUCCGAACCAACUUCUCAGGUCUACAUUUCAGGUGGAAUAUUCCUCCAUACUAACUUUUUUGGUCUACAUUGAAGGAUUUUUUCUAAACCGCCCUUUCAGGUCUAUAUUUGAGGUUUUAGGUGGAAUAUUCCUUUUAAGCAGCCCCCCAGGUCUCUUUGAGGAUUUUGGAUGGAAUACUCGGGUAAACCAACAUUUUAGGUGCAUGUCCAAGGAUUUGUGGUGGAAUGUUCCUUGAAGGUGGAUGUUUGAGGACCUUGUAGGUGGAAUACUUCCUGAAACCAACCUUUUAGGUCAACAUUCAAAGAUUUAAGGUGGAAUAUUCCUUUAAACCAACCUAAAUUUCAUGUUUUGAUCAUUAUCAAGUGAGAAACCUCAAUCCAGACUCCUCAUAAUGACGUUUGAGAUUUAUGCUGCUGUUAUUUGUUUAGUCCAGACUAAAUGACAGAAAUCCACAACUGUAAUUUUAUUUCAGGACUCUGUUAUUAAAUGUCAAAACAAUCCAUGUGACUCUAAAAACUCAACAGCUUUACAAACUCUAAGAUUAAACUCUCCACAAGGAUCCAAAAUAAAUUGGACUUCUACAUGAGAGCUUGAAUUAUUCUUCAUCUACUUCCUGAAAAGUUUGGUCAAUAAAAAAGACAAAAACUAAUAUUUUCAGCUGAACUAAAGACAGACUGUGAUUUCUCUGCUCACAUGUUGUGUUGUUGUAAACUUACUCUUUCAAAUAAAUACCUGCCUAACCCCCUGGAAACCAGCAUUUGUCCUGUUUUUGUGUUGCUCCUCGGCGACCCUAGACAGCCGAGUCGUAAUGUUUUUUGAGCAACACACCAUACUAUGACGUUUUUACAAUGAUGGUUCUACUAUGAAACCAGUUUGACAUGUUCAGGCGUUCUUUGUGUGAAAACUCAGAGAUUUCAGGUAUCAGAAGGCGGUUUUCAACUUUAACUUUCUGCCUCAACUUUAAACUAAAUUUCCUUCACUAACCCAGCCCUCUGGACUUCCAGUAAGCUGUGUUCCUAUUGGCUGUCCAGGUGGCUGCUUGGUGUUAUCAGGAACACCUGAGCAGCUCAGUGUCUUCCUGCUUUAUUUAGCUGCAGCCAAACAUUUCCUCUGCUUCUGUUCACCACUGAACUGGGUUUGUCCGUUGCUUCACUUUGUUCUUUAGGCGUUGGCUUGCAGCUUCCAGCAGUAAAAUUGUCUUUAAUGUGUUUCUUGGUGUGUUUUAGGGCUUUGUACUGGAUAGUUGUCUUGGUAAAUGUGGUUCUUUAGCCACAGUUAGCACAUGGUGCUAAUGUUUGCAGUGAUUAGUGGAUUUGGUGCAGCUGCGUUGUGUCUUUAUCUUGGCUGUAGUGAGUCUUUCGAGGUUUUUGGUCAGACACACUCUGUAUUCUUGUUUGAGAACCAGCGUUGGUUGUCCAGAAGGUAAGAGUUCCUGUCCUGAUUCUCUGUUCUCAGAGCUUCUCUGGUAGGCUGCAAGAGACUUUAGCGUUUGGGUUGUGCUAGUUUGGUUUUUGUAUGGUUUCAUUUGGACGACUAUCUUGAGGCCCCUCCAUGUGGUUUAGUGAGGUUUUCUGCAACAGUUCUACAAAGCAACCUGCAGCAGAAGAGACUUUGAGAGUUUUUAGGAAGUUCUGGAGACCAGACUUUAGAGCAGCAGAAACAUUUGUCAGCAGGUUGAGCAGGAGAAGGUGAGCUUCAGAGUAGAAGUGAGAAGGAAACCUUCUUGACCCGUGUGGUGAGGUCCUGUACCAAGAGUUUGAGCAGGUUGUGAAGAGUCUGUAGUUCUUUGGCCUGAAAGCACAAGAAGAGUCGACUCAUUAAAGGAGAAAACAGGAGAUAUUGUUGGUUCUUCUGUCGCUCUGCAGUUUCCUUAGACUGAAUAUCAAGUUUAUAUUUUAAAUGAUUUCCCAUGUGAGCCCAAGAAGACUUCAAUAAACUCCCUCCAUCCCCUGGACACAACAUAUUUUAUUACCA
ensembl:lncRNA